rnacentral:lncRNA from 1 species
CGGCGGUUCAAGACUGAGUUUUCUAUCUCUUCAGUGCCUCUUUCAACAAUGAAGAUCAAACCAGGUUUUGUGCAAAUAUCUGCUGAGUGAACUACUUAUUUGAAAAUACAUCAUUGGUUAAUAUUCCCUUUUGCUCAUUGAAAUCUCAAAGACUACAGACAAACUACAAUAAAGCCAUGCCCUGACUGGAUGUGCCUAACAUUUGUCUGGUGCUUAAAGGAGUUGGCUGCAUGCGUGGAAAUGUUGGAAAGUCACCAAAAAUAGUUCUCCAAGUCAGAAGCGGUGCAAAAGCUGCCUCAGCUCUUGGUGGAUUUUCAAUUUCUCCCAGCCAUCUCUGUUUCGCUAAAGGUUUCUGAAGACAGUGGAAUGCUGUUGAAGACACCACCUUGAUAAAACAAAAACAUCAGCCAAAUUAAAUUUAAAGGAGUUUAAUUGAGCAAAGAAUUAUUCAUGAAUCAAGCAGUCUUCCAAGCCAGAGUAGGCUCAAAUACUCCAGCACAGCCACGUGGUGGAAGAUUUAUGGACAAAAGAAGAAAAGUAACAUAUAGAAAAUGGAAAUGAGGGGAAGCUUUUUUCUCCUCCCCAUCCUGAUCACUAGUAUGAGAAGGGGUGCUAAUGGACCAGCCUUGGCCUUGCAGAUGAAGAUGAUGAAGGAAGAAGAUGUAUAAAGAACCUCUGAAAGAGUCCCAGUUUUACAUUUCAAAGUCUUUUUCCUUCUGUUGUUUAUUGUGUUGGGUUGGAGUGGAGGAUAUUUGAUGGAGAAUUGAUUCUGAAACUUGCCAAAAUAUGGAUAAUACUUUGCUCCUUUUCCAUUGUGGGUUAUCACAAAGAAGAGUUUCACUUUUAGUCAUCUAUUUACAGGUACGGCAAUAGCUAUUUUCUUUUUCUUUUUUUUAUUUUAGGUUUUAUUUUAGGUACAUGUGAAGGUUUCUUGUAUAGGUAAACUAGUGUCAUGUGGGAUUGUUGCACAGAUUAUUUUAUCAACCAGGUAUUAAGGAAGCUCAGUACCCAAUAGUUAUAUUUUCUGCUCCUCUCCCUCAUCCCACUCUCCACCCUGAGGUCGACCCCAGUGUCUGUUGUUUCCUUCUUUCUGUUAAUGAGUUCUCAUCAUUUAGCUCCCACUUAUAAGUGAGAACAUGUGCUAUGUGUUUUUCUGUUCCUGUGUUAGUUGGCUAAGGAUAAUGGCCUCCAGCUCCAUUUUUGUUUCCCUCUCCAGCAUCUGUUUUUUUUUUUAAUUUUUAGUAAUAUCCAUUCUGACUGGUAUGAGAUGGUAUCUCAUUGUGGUUCUGACUUGCAUUUCUGUAAUGGUCAAUGAUGUUCAGCUUUUCUUUUCAUGUGCUUGUUGCCCACAUGUAUGUUUUGUUUUGAAAAGUGUUUGUUCGUGUCCUUUAUCCACUUUUCAAUGGGGUUGUUUGCUUUUCUCUCGUAAAUUUGUUUAAUUUCCUUAUAGAUGUUAUGACCUAGCAGCUGUACCUUUUUUAAUUUCAAGACAUUCAAUAAACUAAGAACCAACAGCACAAAAAAAAAAAAAAA